AUGGCGCCGCCGGCGCCGCCCAACAGCCCCGACGGCGACGCCCCGCCGGCCAUGGAGUCCCAGGAGGCCCUCCCGGAACACGUCGUCGAUGACAUCUUCCUCCGCCUCCCCACGGCCGAGGACCUCGCCCGCGCAUCCAUGGCCAGCGCAUCCUUCCGCCGCAUCAUCGCCGCCCGCUCCUUCCUCCGCCGCUUUCGCGCCCUCCACCGGCCGCCUCUCCUGGGCGUGCUCGCGUACGAGUCGUCCCAAAGGGCCAACCUCUCGGUCGCCUUCCUCCCGGCCCAGCCGCCCCACCCCGCCGCGGCGGCCGCCGCCCACACCCUCGCCAGGGCCGACUUCUCCUGCUCUUUCCUCCCCUCGCCGGAGCUCUGGAUCAACUGUGACUUCCGCGACGGCCGUGCCCUCCUCUCCAAGCAGGGGGAUUUCCUGGCCAACCUCGCCGUGUGCGACCCACUGCAUCGGCGCUACGUCCUGCUACCUGCCCUCCCUGACGACCUGGCUGCCCUAACCAGGGAGCUAGAUGUGAUACAUUGUCACCCCUUCCUUGCCCAUGCCGGCCAGGACAGGGGCGACAAUGCCGACGCUCCGUCGGGCUUCAGGGUCAUGUGCUUGCUCAGGUGCUCGAGCACGCUGAUCCUCUUCAUCUUCUCCUCGUCGGGUGCCCGUGCAGGCCAAUGGCGCACUGUUACAUUUGGUGGUUGGGGCGCCUUGAUGGCAGGACACGUCGGUGUGGAUUUCUUCCUGGCCACUCUAUCCACGCGCCGCCAUUAUGCUCAUGGGUGCUUUUAUUGGGAGAUACCUUAUACCCGCAAGCUGCUCGUGUUCGACACGCGCACGGAGGAGUUCUCUUCUCUCAGCACUCCACGUGGCCAUUAUCAGAUGGUCUUUGUGGAGGCAAUGGAAGGAAGGCUCGGGAUGUUUAGUCGCAGCAUUGAAGAUGAUGGAAAACACCUCUUGUAUGACAUUUUGCAGGAUAAUGGGGAUGGCACAAAGGAGUGGCGAAGGGAGGACGUAAUCUCGGUGCCAUAUAAAUAUCACUAUGACAUCAUCGGUGUUGCAGGGGGAUGCUUACUUCUACAUGGGAAUGUAGACAACCCGGAGUCUCCAGAAUUCCACUUCAACUCUUAUUCACUCGAUCUGCAGACUAUGAAGCUUAAGUGGUUUCGUGGGACUCAGUCCUUGUACUUCUCCCCGCACAGCCAUCUGUAUGAUGGUUUCCCGCCAUUCUUGUCUCCACCAACUAUUUGA
rnacentral:rRNA from 1 species